GACGGAGGGUGCUAGCGUUGUUCGGAAUGACUGGGCGUAAAGGGCGCGUAGGCGGCUCGUGAAGUCGGGUGUGAAAGCCCGGGGCUCAACCCCGGAACGGCAUCCGAUACUGGCGGGCUUGAGACCGGGAGAGGAGGGUGGAAUACCCAGUGUAGAGGUGAAAUUCGUAGAUAUUGGGUGGAACACCGGUGGCGAAAGCGGCUCUCUGGCCCGGAUCUGACGCUGAGGCGCGAAAGCUAGGGGAGCGAACGGG
rnacentral:rRNA from 1 species